rnacentral:rRNA from 1 species
GAUGAACGCUGGCGGCGUGCCUCAAACAUGCAAGUCGAGCGGGGCUAUGUAAUAUCGCAAGGUAGAACAUAGCCUAGCGGCGAACGGGUGAGUAACACGUGGGUAACCUGCCUGGAAGACAGGGAUAACGAUUCGAAAGGGUCGCUAAUACCUGAUAAUAUCCUUUCAUCGCAUGGUGAUAGGAAGAAAGGGGAAACCCGCUUUCAGAUGGGCCCGCGUCCCAUCAGCUAGUUGGUAAGGUAAAGGCUUACCAAGGCGACGACGGGUAGCCGGUCUGAGAGGAUGUACGGCCACACUGGGACUGAGAUACGGCCCAGACUCCUACGGGAGGCAGCAGUUGGGAAUCUUAGGCAAUGGACGAAAGUCUGACCUAGCGACGCCGCGUGAGGGGAAGAAGGCCUUCGGGUUGUAAACCUCUGUCAUGGGGGAAGAAGUAAGUGACGGUACCCCAAGAGGAAGCCCCUGCUAACUACGUGC